GGCAGUAACUGCUCAUUUGGUCAAAAAUGAGUUCAUGUCAUUUUUGUUAGAUUAAAUGCAUGCUUAAUCAUGUGGACAAGUAUCCUGCCUCUAUUGUAUUGUGUUUUGGAGAAAAUGGGGUUUACCUUUGUAUCAUAUCAUUUUAUUCUGUGAUGCAAUCGAACCUGUAUGACACUGACUGACACCUACACACACAUACCUUGCUAAUCUAGGGAUACAACUCCAUGGAACAGCAUUCCCGGGGGUUAAAUGAUGGUUGAACUUGCUCUGAAACGCCGACAUCCAGACAGACACUGUUGAGUUUGAGGGCCACAUUCCAACAAAGAUUCCUGAUCUACCCCCUUUAACUGAAGUCACAGUGUCAACACUACUUGAAGAAAUAGAGAACCAGUGGGUGGUCUCUGACAGACUUAUUGUUAGCUAGGAGGAAGACAUGGAGGGUUCAACGCUGACACAGAGGAGGGCUGAGUGUCA